ACGGGAGGCAGCAGUGGGGAAUAUUGCACAAUGGGGGAAACCCUGAUGCAGCGACGCCGCGUGAGUGAAGAAGUAUUUCGGUAUGUAAAGCUCUAUCAGCAGGGAAGAAAAUGACGGUACCUGACCAAGAAGCCCCGGCUAACUACGUGCCAGCAGCCGCGGUAAUACGUAGGGGGCAAGCGUUAUCCGGAUUUACUGGGUGUAAAGGGAGCGUAGACGGUAAUGCAAGUCAGAAGUGAAAGCCCAGGGCUCAACCGUGGGACUGCUUUUGAAACUGCAGUACUGGAGUGCAGGAGAGGUAAGUGGAAUUCCUAGUGUAGCGGUGAAAUGCGUAGAUAUUAGGAGGAACACCAGUGGCGAAGGCGGCUUACUGGACUGUAACUGACGUUGAGGCUCGAAAGCGUGGGGAGCAAACAGGAUUAGAUACCCUGGUA
rnacentral:rRNA from 1 species